rnacentral:rRNA from 1 species
UACGUAGGGUGCGAGCGUUGUCCGGAAUUACUGGGCGUAAAGAGCUCGUAGGUGGUUUGUCGCGUUGUCCGUGAAAACUCACAACUCAAUUGUGGGCGUGCGGGCGAUACGGGCAGACUGGAGUACUGCAGGGGAGACUGGAAUUCCUGGUGUAGCGGUGGAAUGCGCAGAUAUCAGGAGGAACACCGGUGGCGAAGGCGGGUCUCUGGGCAGUAACUGACGCUGAGGCACGAAAGCCAGGGGAGCAAACGGG